rnacentral:tRNA from 1 species
GUUUCCGUGGUGUAUUGGUUAUCACAUCCGCUUAACACGCGGAAGGUCCACAGUUCGAUACCGGGCGGAAACA